UACGUAGGGUGCAAGCGUUGUCCGGAAUUAUUGGGCGUAAAGAGCUCGUAGGCGGUCUGUCGCGUCGGCUGUGAAAACUCGGGGCCCAACCCCGAGCCUGCAGUCGAUACGGGCAGACUAGAGUGCAGUAGGGGAGACUGGAAUUCCUGGUGUAGCGGUGAAAUGCGCAGAUAUCAGGAGGAACACCGGCGGCGAAGGCGGGUCUCUGGGCUGUAACUGACGCUGAGGAGCGAAAGCGUGGGGAGCGAACAGG
rnacentral:rRNA from 1 species